CCUACGGGUGGCAGCAGUGAGGAAUAUUGGUCAAUGGCCGCAGGGCUGAACCAGCCAAGUCGCGUGAGGGAUGACGGUCCUAUGGAUUGUAAACCUCUUUUGUCAGGGAGCAAGGGGCGCCACGUGUGGCGCUUUGCGAGUACCUGAAGAAAAAGCAUAGGCUAACUCCGUGCCAGCAGCCGCGGUAAUACGGGGGAUGCGAGCGUUAUCCGGAUUUAUUGGGGUUAUAGGGUGCGCAGGCGGAAUGUCAAGUCAGCGGUAAAAUUUCGGGGCUCAACCCCGUCGUGCCGUUGAACCUGGCUGUCUUGAGUGCGCGAGAAGUAUGCGGAAUGCGUGGUGUAGCGGUGAAAUGCAUAGAUAGCACGCAGAACUCCGAUUGCGAAGGCAGCAUACCGGCGCUCAACUGACGCUGAGGCACGAAAGCGUGGGUAGCGAACAGGAUUAGAUACCCGAGGAGUC
rnacentral:rRNA from 1 species